GUAGUAAACAAAGCCACUACUCGGAUACGAGAAGACGAUAGGUAUUAUCCAAGCUGGGCAUAUCACUGUACCGUGUGUACCUGAAUAUCAAUGAAUGAAAGCAGUGACGCCAUUUUAGACAAACGCACUUACUCAAACUCCUGGCUUAUUCUACUCUCAUGCUCAUGAGUAACUGAGAGAAAUAUCCGUGAUAUCCGUUCACUGAGCCACAUUAUACAUACACAGGUCACGAGAUAGCUAUGUAAGAUGCAUACCAAUAAAAAUGACGACUGGGUGAUGCCUAGCCUGUACUGGGGCUGGGGAGCAAGAGCAAGCUCGCUGCUGUGUGCUGUUAUGUACUAUGUAAUGACUAUGUACUAGUGUCUGUUGUGUGUGUAGACAGUAGACGUAUAAGCUAAGCGUAGAUAGAUAUGAGGAUGACGAGAAUUGAGAAUACGAAAGCGCCCGAGCCGGCUGCUGGACUUCUAUUCGUUUACACUCGUACAGUGAGUAGUGAACUCAGCUUGCUACAAUCUACAACACACACUGUAGGUAGAUGUAGACUGACUGGCCCGCCAGUGCUGCCAACUGCGCACUGACACCCACACACGUCCUGGGAUAAGGUGCAGGAUUUACAAGGAAAGACAAAGAGCAACAAGUGCGGUCAGCUCGCGCAUGCGCGGAAAUUGACAGCUGAGUUUCCAUGGAAGCAAUAGAAGUUCUCUAACGCAAGCAAUUAGUCACAUCUUUAUUCAGCUUGGCGUAAUGAAUACUCGGAUUAAAGUGUCUCUUACUCGAGUCUUGUACACUUAGAAAGUUACAUGUCGAGUAGAGUUAAAACUGAGUAAAAAACACUCUUUGAGAUGCGACAAGAGUUGUUGAGUGAAAAUGGUACUGAGUGGACUAUUUACUUGAAAAAUUCUCUCGAUUAAAUGUUACACCGACAUCCCGGUUGAUUACCUCCAUCAAUUUUUUGACCCGUUCAUUAAUUUUUCUAAAAUAAAGGUAAUUAUUUCUUCUUUACCUACUAAAUUA